GACGAACGCUGGCGGCGUGCUUAACACAUGCAAGUCGAACGGAAAGGCCCUGCUUGCAGGGUACUCGAGUGGCGAACGGGUGAGUAACACGUGGGUGAUCUGCCCUGCACUUCGGGAUAAGCUUGGGAAACUGGGUCUAAUACCGGAUAGGAGCCAUCUUUAGUGUGGUGGUUGGAAAGUUUUUUCGGUGUAGGAUGUGCUCGCGGCCUAUCAGCUUGUUGGUGGGGUAAUGGCCUACCAAGGCGGCGACGGGUAGCCGGCCUGAGAGGGUGUACGGCCACAUUGGAACUGAGAUACGGCCCAGACUCCUACGGGAGGCAGCAGUGGGGAAUAUUGCACAAUGGGCGCAAGCCUGAUGCAGCGACGCCGCGUGGGGGAUGAAGGCCUUCGGGUUGUAAACUCCUUUGGCUAGGGACGAAGCUUUUUUGUGACGGUACCUAGAUAAGAAGCACCGGCUAACUACGUG
rnacentral:rRNA from 1 species